AUUGAACGCUGGCGGCAUGCCUUACACAUGCAAGUCGAACGGCAGCACGGGAGCUUGCUCCUGGUGGCGAGUGGCGAACGGGUGAGUAAUGCAUCGGAACGUACCCGGAAGUGGGGGAUAACGUAGCGAAAGUUACGCUAAUACCGCAUAUUCUGUGAGCAGGAAAGAGGGGGAUCGCAAGACCUCUCGCUUUCGGAGCGGCCGAUGUCGGAUUAGCUAGUUGGUGGGGUAAAGGCCUACCAAGGCGACGAUCCGUAGCGGGUCUGAGAGGAUAAGCCGCCACACGGGAAAGGAGACACGGUCCAGACUCCUACGGGGGGCAGCAGUGGGGAAUUUUGGACAAUGGGCGAAAGCCUGAUCCAGCCAUGCCGCGUGAGUGAAGAAGGCCUUCGGGUUGUAAAGCUCUUUCGGCUGAAAAGAAAUCGCACAGGCUAAUACCCUGUGUGGAUGACGGUAUCAGCAUAAGAAGCACCGGCUAACUACGUGCCAGCAGCCGCCGAAA
rnacentral:rRNA from 1 species